rnacentral:lncRNA from 1 species
AAGUUUUUUCGUCAUUGUUAAAUUUCGCCCUAAAAGGUUCUAUGAAAGAAAUUUGAUCACAAAGAAGAUCUUACGCAUAAAAGAUGAAGGUGGAAGAUUUUAUGUAGAGGACUUUACCUAGAAAAGCAUUGAUUAUGAUCAAAAGGGAGAAUAAGGACUUGCCUAAUCCUAUGAGUUCAGAUUCAAAGAAAAUGAUAAAAAAAUGAUGAUGGAAAAAAGGAAAAGAAAAAGAAAAGAAAAAAGAAAAAGAAAACGAAAAAGAAA